UACGGAGGGGGGUUAGCGUUGUUCGGAAUGACUGGGCGUAAAGCGCGCGUAGGCGGACCUGCAAGUCGGGGGGUGAAAUCCCGGGGCUCAACCCUGGAAUGGCCUUCGAGACUGCCGGUCUUGAGUUCGAGAGAGGUGGGUGGAAUUCCGAGUGUAGAGGUGAAAUUCGUAGAUAUUCGGAGGAACACCAGUGGCGAAGGCGGCCCACUGGCUCGACACUGACGCUGAGGUGCGAAAGCGUGGGGAGCAAACAGG
rnacentral:rRNA from 1 species